rnacentral:rRNA from 1 species
GAACGCCGUAGCAAUACGGAGUGGCAGACGGGUGAGUAACGCGUGGGAACAUGCCCUUUGGUUCGGAAUAACUCAGGGAAACUUGAGCUAAUACCGGAUACGUCCAAGGCGACUUGGAGAAAGAUUUAUCGCCGGAGGAUUGGCCCGCGUCUGAUUAGCUAGUUGGUGGGGUAAUGGCCCACCAAGGCAACGAUCAGUAGCUGGUCUGAGAGGAUGAUCAGCCACAUUGGGACUGAGACACGGCCCAAACUCCUACGGGAGGCAGCAGUGGGGAAUAUUGGACAAUGGGCGCAAGCCUGAUCCAGCCAUGCCGCGUGAGUGACGAAGGCCUUAGGGUUGUAAAGCUCUUUUGCCUGGGAAGAUAAUGACGGUACCAGGAGAAUAAGCCCCGGCUAACUUCGUG